rnacentral:rRNA from 1 species
GAUGAACGCUGGCGGCGUGCCUAAUACAUGCGAGUCGAGCGAACAGACGAGGAGCUUGCUCCUCUGACGUUAGCGGCGGACGGGUGAGUAACACGUGGAUAACCUACCUAUAAGACUGGGAUAACUUCGGGAAACCGGAGCUAAUACCGGAUAAUAUAUUGAACCGCAUGGUUCAAUAGUGAAAGACGGUUUUGCUGUCACUUAUAGAUGGAUCCGCGCCGCAUUAGCUAGUUGGUAAGGUAACGGCUUACCAAGGCAACGAUGCGUAGCCGACCUGAGAGGGUGAUCGGCCACACUGGAACUGAGACACGGUCCAGACUCCUACGGGAGGCAGCAGUAGGGAAUCUUCCGCAAUGGGCGAAAGCUUGACGGAGCAACGCCGCGUGAGUGAUGAAGGUCUUCGGAUCGUAAAACUCUGUUAUUAGGGAAGAAUAAAUGUGUAAGUAACUAUGCACGUCUUGACGGUACCUAAUCAGAAAGCCACGGCUAACUACGUG